rnacentral:rRNA from 1 species
GAUGAACGCUAGCGGCAGGCUUAACACAUGCAAGUCGAGGGGCAGCACGGUAGCAAUACUGGUGGCGACCGGCAAACGGGUGCGGGAACACGUACAGAACCUACCUUGAUCUGGGGCAUAGCCCCGGGAGAAAAUCCGGGAUUAACUCCCCAUAAUAUAGAUGAGUGGCAUCGACUUGACUAAUUAAAAUUUAAUUGGAUCGAGAUGGCUGUGCGUCCCAUUAGCUAGNGGUAGGGUAACGGCCUACCAAGGCGACGAUGGGUAGCUGGUGUGAGAGCACGA